CUGAGGGCAGAGCUGUUUGCCUGGCAGAGGAGGAGCAAACAGCCAUGUUGUAAAUGGCCUCUGAGGAGGACUGGCCUCUAGGAGUUGAGGACCUCAAGCCUACAUCUGCAAGGAAUUGAACGAUGCCAAGAACCCGAACAAACUCUGAAGAUGAGAAUGCGGCCCUGUGCCAAGACUGGCUGCCUUCCCCUGUUUCUGUACCACACUGGUUCCUGAAGCUAUUUGAGUUUGAGACUGCUGGGGUAACCUGACCCACUUCAAGGAUCUGAAAGUAUUUUACAGUUGGUUGAAUCCAUGGAUGUGGAACCCAUGGAUGUGAAGGACUGACUGUACUUUGCACUAGUGGUUCUCAAAGUGUGGGCCCUGGACCAGUGGCAGCAGCAUCACCUGGGAACUUGUGAGAAAUGCACUUUUCAGCUCCUGUUUCAGAUGGACCUAUCAGAAUCUCUGCAGGAACAUUUUGAAGUCCCCUCAUAUACAAUGAAAUGAUAGAUUUGUCAACACAGAUAAAUCUCAAAAACACAAUAAGUGAAGAAAGUAAGUUGCAGAUGGAAAUAAUAUGUGAUGGUCAAACAAUCUAGAUGUUUCCGUGAAGGUGUUUUUGGAUGAGACUAACAUUGACAUUGGUGGACUUUGAGUAAAGCAGGUUGCCUGCGUGCCAUAAUGUGGGUAUUCUCAUCCAAUCAGUUGCGGGAUUUAACAGAGCAAAGACUGAGGUCCCCUGAGAAAAUAGGAUUCCACCAGCAGACAGCCUUCAGCCUUGAACUGCAGUGUCACCUCUUCACUGGGCCUCCCAACCUGCUGACACUUUGAUCUUGGACUUCUAGCCUCCAUAACUGUGUGAGCCAAUUCCCUAAAAUAAAUCUCUCUCUGUACACAUUCUAUGGUUAUGUU
rnacentral:lncRNA from 1 species